UCUCUAGAUGCCAAAGCUAACAGCGCGUUGGAAUGCCCUUACAUAGCUGACUUGCGUAGAGUUUUUCUUAGUUCUUUGAGGUUUCAAGGAUCAAUUUGUGCAGUUGAUCUAAGACAGUAGAAUCUGCAAGUGUUGAGGUGUGGAUGAAAUGAAACCUUGUUUGCGAAAGCAAAAGAGAACCAACAAUGACAACUCAACUACAUUGAUAAUAUAACCUUGAGUACUUGAUGAAUCAAGUGUAUUUUGAGAGCUAGUGUACUUUAUCUUAGCUUGUUUAGUUUGAAUAAUAAUUUUAUUGCAGAAAAUUAUUCAAUACUUUAUUUGUAAUGUUGAUGUUGGUUUGUUAUGAAAUAUUUCAUGUGUUUUAAUUUCAAUUAAAAAUGAGUACUUCAAUAAAA